rnacentral:rRNA from 1 species
GAUGAACGCUAGCUACAGGCUUAACACAUGCAAGUCGAGGGGCAGCAUGGUCUUAGCUUGCUAAGGCCGAUGGCGACCGGCGCACGGGUGAGUAACACGUAUCCAACCUGCCGUCUACUCUUGGACAGCCUUCUGAAAGGAAGAUUAAUACAAGAUGGCAUCAUGAGUCCGCAUGUUCACAUGAUUAAAGGUAUUCCGGUAGACGAUGGGGAUGCGUUCCAUUAGAUAGUAGGCGGGGUAACGGCCCACCUAGUCUUCGAUGGAUAGGGGUUCUGAGAGGAAGGUCCCCCACAGUGGAACUGGGACACGGUCCAAACUCAUACGGGAGGCAGCAGUGAGGAAUAUUGGUCAAUGGGCGAGAGCCUGAACCAGCGAAGUAGCGUGAAGGAUGACUGCCCUAGGGGUUGUAAACUUCUUUUAUAAAGGAAUAAAGUCGGGUAUGGAUACCCGUUUGCAUGUACUUUAUGAAUAAGGAUCGGCCAACUCCGUG